rnacentral:rRNA from 1 species
CACGUAGGGCGCAAGCGUUGUCCGGAAUUAUUGGGCGUAAAGAGCUCGUAGGCGGUCUGCCACGUCCGCUGUGAAAACCUAGGGCUUAACCCUGGGCUUGCAGUAGAUACGGGCAGACUAGAGGUAGGUAGGGGAGACUGGAAUUUACGGUGUAGCGGUGAAAUGCGUAGAUAUCGUAAGGAAGACCAGUGGCGAAGGCGGGUCUCUGGACAGUUCCUGACGCUGAGGCACGAAGGCUAGGGGAGCAAACGGG